GUGGCUUCCGGCUCGGCGUGCAAGAGCAACAACUGCGACACAGAAGAUUCAAAUCAAUCGUCGAUACAGCAGAAGAAAAAAUCCACCUGCAACCUAGCGCCAAACCCAGUCAGCUGCCUCUACUGUCAAUGCAUGUUCCCCUCGGACAACUUCAGGAGACUGCUAUCUCGUCGAAUGAAUUGCUCAUGACAGAUUCCGCCGCGAAGGAGUAUUUUACUGACAUUGACCUCCAUGGGAGAAAUGUUAGAAAACAGAAAAGAAAGGUGCCUCGAUUCAAAGCUAUAAUGUGGCCGGGUGAAAAACAUACAACAUACAUGGCUACAAUGACCAGUCCGUGAGUGACCAAACUAAAAGAUUUCGGUACCAUGCAGCUUCCAUCGGGAUUACCAGUGAAAAUAGAAAUCGAGCUAUUCCAUUUGUUGAACGUGAUUGUUGCAUUUGGCAACGUAUUCGCGAUAGGUGCACCCGUGAUCAACGUGAGCCACAUCAAGAAGAGCAAAGAGCGUACGACAUGCAUUAUCGAGGAUUUGUGUUUCGAUGUCCCAUCCGAGUAUGUACGACGUGGUUCCGAUUUCCAUCUUCAAAUCACCUUCGAAGAUGAGGAUGAAUUGAUGUAAUUUGCGAUUCGAGUCGCGUAGCGAGAACGACGAGGUGGAUAUAUGGGAAGCACUGAGAGUCCAACUGCCACUAACAUCUAACUUCUACGAAGGCGAUAAGUUGCGAAGGCUUGUGAAAAACACCUGCUGCACUCAAGGCCUUUUUCAUAACGAAACUCAAUUUUUGUAUUUCAACCAUGUAGUUCUGCCUAAGCUGUAGAGAAUGAGGAUGCCCGA